rnacentral:rRNA from 1 species
AUACAGAGGGUGCAAACGUUGUUCGGAAUUACUGGGCAUAAAGCGCACGUAGGCGGUCUAGUAAGUGUGAAGUGAAAUCCCACGGCUCACCCGUGGAACUGCUUUGCAAACUGCUAGACUCGAGGAAGAUAGGGGAGAGCAGAACUCUUGGAGGAGCGGUGAAAUGCGUAGAUAUCAAGAGGAAUACCAGUGGCGAAGGCGGCUCUCUGGUCCUUUACUGACGCUGAGGUGCGAAAGCUAGGGUAGCGAACGGAAUUAGAAACCCCAGUAGUCC